rnacentral:lncRNA from 1 species
AGCCCCGCACCCCCAGCCCCAGCCCCGCGUGCAGCUCGCACCCCUUCCCACGCCUGUUCGGGGGAGAGCCCCGGGCCUGGAGUGGGAAGCCUGGCUCCAGCUCUGGUUACCUGCAGUGACUCCCCAGGCCGUUUAGGCGAGUCCAUUGGGCCGCCUCUGCCUCGGUUUCCCCACCUAACCACGGAAGGUGCUCCUCCCUUCCAGGCAUCUGUGGUCUUCGAGCUCCACGCGGGAGAGGCGCCGGUCUGGCACCUCCUGCCCAGGGUCGGCGCCUCCUGGCUCUCGGGGAGGGGGGCAUCCUCCAUCCCCUGCACCUGCCUCGAGAGGAACCAGGGACAGAGCACCCCCACCCCCACCAGGAGCUCCGGAAAAACGGCUUCAGAAGAGCAAAUAUACACACACACCCACCUCCCGCCCCAAACAUCCCCGAAGAAAGGUAACCACAGAAACAGCCAGAAAUGUGGAGCUGGGCGAUCGUAUGAGGCUGAGACAAAACUGUCUUUCUAGCGUCUCUAGGGGAGAGCUUGAAUCCCUCCUUCCACUCCUCCUCCACGGAAAACAGAGUGAACUCCUGCUACAGAGGCCGCCAGAGCAACAUGCAAGACCAGCUUUGAGGGGAGCGGGCACAGGGCCUUGCAGGGAAGGAGUGUAUCUCUCUCAGAUGAGAUACAAGUUGGUCCCUUCCCUUGCGUCCCUCCUGUUCCUUCAAGAGGAGGACUGUCUACCCACCCCGAAGCUUCAUGGAGAGAGAGCACACCGUCGUUAUUCAAUAUGUAGUUUUGAAUUUAACUAGAGCAAAGAAGAAAGCAAAUUCAGCUGAGAGGCAGACAGUCUGGGAAUAAAAUGGCAGUGCCAGCUAAUGGGGACCCAGUCUUCUUAUCUCCUGUUUCUCUGCCCUGCAUGGUCUUUAUUCCCGAAGUCACAUCAUGGCCCAGAAUGGCUGCAAAACCUCUAGCAUUUACUUCCUUAUUCCAGGUGGAAGGAAGAAGAAAAGGGAAAAGGGCUGUCCCCAUCCUUCUAAGGAGAUGGUGCAGUGGCUCACCUUUGGGAGGCCGAGGCAGGCAGAUCACUUGAGCUCAGCAGUUUGAGACCAGCCUGGGUAACAUAGUGAAACCCCAUCUCUACAGAAAUUAAAAAAUUAGCCAGACAUGGCGGCGCACACCUGUGGUCCCAGCUACUCAGGAGGCUGCGGCAGAAGUAUGCCUUGAGCCAAAGAGGCAGAGAUUGCAGUGAGCCAAGAUCAUGCUACUGCACUCCAGCCUGGGCAACGAAGCAAGACUGUCUCAGGAAAAAAAAAAAAAAUGAUCAUUUUUCUCUGUCCACUUGGUGGGUCAACUGAAUGGUAUUCCUGUGUCUUCUACUCUCCUCCCACUUGGAAACCCACUGAGAUGCUCUUCCGAAGGCCAGUGCAUGCUGGGCCACACGAGACAGAGCUCAGGCUGGAGGAGCCUCAUACCCGCCCCUCUAGAUGCUUAUAAAAAUACUUCCCACCUUUGAAUCAAGUGGAAAAUGAGGCUCUCCAGUCAAAAGCCGCGACUGUAUAGAAAGCCCUGAGUUGCCCAAUCUGUUCACAUGGCAUCACCAACCUCUGUGUCAUCAUCAAGCUGUCCAGGGGACUCGAUGGCCACCUGGCCAGGAACUGCGGGCUGAUUGGAAGCUGUUGUUCCCAUUGUAUAAUCACACACAUCAUAAAAUAAUCAGUCUUGUCUCUAUUUACAAUUUUGAUGUUUUGUUCAUCACAAAUUUUUAUAUUAAUUUUUAGUUUAACAAACAUUGCACUAAAAUAAUGUUUCUCUUGAUGACCGAGUUUGGGUGCCCUUUCUAUUCUGUGUACAAGAUGAGAGCCUCACUGGCCUCCCCCAAUCCUGGCACUGCCGGAGGCUUUCCUGCGCCCCCUGUGUACUUGUAAGUGC